UACGGGGGGGGCAAGCGUUGUUCGGAAUUACUGGGCGUAAAGGGUUUGUAGGUGGCUUGUUAAGUCAGACGUGAAAUCCCUCAGCUUAACUGGGGAACUGCGUCUGAUACUGGCGAGCUUGAGUGCAGGAGAGGAACGCGGAAUUCCAGGUGUAGCGGUGAAAUGCGUAGAUAUCUGGAGGAACACCGGUGGCGAAGGCGGCGUUCUGGACUGCAUCUGACACUGAGGAACGAAAGCCAGGGGAGCAAACGGG
rnacentral:rRNA from 1 species